rnacentral:lncRNA from 1 species
CUUCAAGGUAGAUGGCCAGGUACCCUGGCUCUGCCAGCCUGCCUUUCAGCAGGGGCUUCAAUGGUCUUGCUCAAAUCACAUCCGCACUGACGAAUUUCCCUGUCGACGGACAGGACAUCGAUGUCAUCUGUAACUUCCGGUGCACUGGGGCACACAGCUGCAUCUCCCCAUGCUCACCUCCUGCCUCUUGCUCUGCCCAGUGUGAGGACUCAGCCUGGAUCACCUCCUCCAGGACAAGAACAACCUACCAUCAUCGAAGCUCGCCAACCCCCGUGGACUGCUGGCUCUCAAGGCGGCCGCUAGCCCAGCUCCGACAGCAGCUGACAAUGCACAGUAUGC